GGGUGAGUAACACGUGGGUAACCUGCCUGUAAGACUGGGAUAACUCCGGGAAACCGGAGCUAAUACCGGAUAGUUCCUUGAACCGCAUGGUUCAAGGAUGAAAGACGGUUUCGGCUGUCACUUACAGAUGGACCCGCGGCGCAUUAGCUAGUUGGUGGGGUAAUGGCUCACCAAGGCGACGAUGCGUAGCCGACCUGAGAGGGUGAUCGGCCACACUGGGACUGAGACACGGCCCAGACUCCUACGGGAGGCAGCAGUAGGGAAUCUUCCGCAAUGGACGAAAGUCUGACGGAGCAACGCCGCGUGAGUGAUGAAGGUUUUCGGAUCGUAAAGCUCUGUUGUUAGGGAAGAACAAGUGCGAGAGUAACUGCUCGCACCUUGACGGUACCUAACCAGAAAGCCACGGCUAACUACGUGCCAGCAGCCGCGGUAAUACGUAGGUGGCAAGCGUUGUCCGGAAUUAUUGGGCGUAAAGGGCUCGCAGGCGGUUUCUUAAGUCUGAUGUGAAAGCCCCCGGCUCAACCGGGGAGGGUCAUUGGAAACUGGGAAACUUGAGUGCAGAAGAGGAGAGUGGAAUUCCACGUGUAGCGGUGAAAUGCGUAGAGAUGUGGAGGAACACCAGUGGCGAAGGCGACUCUCUGGUCUGUAACUGACGCUGAGGAGCGAAAGCGUGGGGAGCGAACAGGAUUAGAUACCCUGGUAGUCCACGCCGUAAACGAUGAGUGCUAAGUGUUAGGGGGUUUCCGCCCCUUAGUGCUGCAGCUAACGCAUUAAGCACUCCGCCUGGGGAGUACGGUCGCAAGACUGAAACUCAAAGGAAUUGACGGGGGCCCGCACAAGCGGUGGAGCAUGUGGUUUAAUUCGAAGCAACGCGAAGAACCUUACCAGGUCUUGACAUCCUCUGACAACCCUAGAGAUAGGGCUUUCCCUUCGGGGACAGAGUGACAGGUGGUGCAUGGUUGUCGUCAGCUCGUGUCGUGAGAUGUUGGGUUAAGUCCCGCAACGAGCGCAACCCUUGAUCUUAGUUGCCAGCAUUUAGUUGGGCACUCUAAGGUGACUGCCGGUGACAAACCGGAGGAAGGUGGGGAUGACGUCAAAUCAUCAUGCCCCUUAUGACCUGGGCUACACACGUGCUACAAUGGACAGAACAAAGGGCUGCGAGACCGCAAGGUUUAGCCAAUCCCAUAAAUCUGUUCUCAG
rnacentral:rRNA from 1 species